AGAGUUUGAUCCUGGCUCAGGAUGAACGCUAGCGGCAGGCUUAACACAUGCAAGUCGAGGGGCAUCGGGAGGGAAGCUUGCUUUCCUUGCCGGCGACCGGCGCACGGGUGAGUAACACGUAUGCAACCUGCCCUCUUCAGGGGGACAACCUUCCGAAAGGGAGGCUAAUCCCGCGUAUAUCGGUUUCGGGCAUCCGAGAUCGAGGAAAGAUUCAUCGGAAGAGGAUGGGCAUGCGGCGCAUUAGCUUGACGGCGGGGUAACGGCCCACCGUGGCGACGAUGCGUAGGGGUUCUGAGAGGAAGGUCCCCCACACUGGUACUGAGACACGGACCAGACUCCUACGGGAGGCAGCAGUGAGGAAUAUUGGUCAAUGGGAGAGAUCCUGAACCAGCCAAGCCGCGUGAGGGAAGACGGCCCUAUGGGUUGUAAACCUCUUUUGUCGGAGAACAAAGCCCGGGACGUGUCCCGGACUGCGUGUAUCCGAAGAAAAAGCAUCGGCUAACUCCGUG
rnacentral:rRNA from 1 species